CUCAACCUCUCCGGCCUCAGUUUCCUCAUCUGUAAGGAAACGUCAUGUACUGUACUUUACAGCAUCGUUAUAUGAAGAAGCCGCCAAAAGAAGUCCUCCAAUGUAUACAAGCCAAAGACCGGCAAAAUAUAGGUCUGCUGUCCCCUGAGGAGCUGCACUGACUCACACCCCAGAGACUGCACCACAGC